AGUGAACGCUGGCGGUAGGCCUAACACAUGCAAGUCGAACGGCAGCACAGGAGAGCUUGCUCUCUGGGUGGCGAGUGGCGGACGGGUGAGGAAUACAUCGAAAUCUACUCUGUCGUGGGGGAUAACGUAGGGAAACCUACGCUAAUACCGCAUACGACCUACGGGUGAAAGCAGGGGACCUUCGGGCCUUGCGCGAUUGAAUGAGCCGAUGUCGGAUUAGCUUGUUGGCGGGGUAAAGGCCCACCAAGGCGACGGUCCGUAGCUGGUCUGAGAGGAUGAUCAGCCACACUGGAACUGAGACACGGUCCAGACUCCUACGGGAGGCAGCAGUGGGGAAUAUUGGACAAUGGGCGCAAGCCUGAUCCAGCCAUACCGCGUGGGUGAAGAAGGCCUUCGGGUUGUAAAGCCCUUUUGUUGGGAAAGAAAUCCAGCUGGCUAAUACCCGGUUGGGAUGACGGUACCCAAAGAAUAAGCACCGGCUAACUUCGUGCCAGCAGCCGCGGUAA
rnacentral:rRNA from 1 species